AUUGAACGCUGGCGGCAGGCUUAACACAUGCAAGUCGAACGAGCGGCGGGCGGGUGAGUAAUGUCUGGGAAACUGCCUGCUGGAGGGGGAUAACUACUGGAAACGGUUGCUACUACCGCAUACCAUCAGAUGUGCCCAGCUGGGAUUAGCUAGUAGGUGGGGUAAUGGCUCACCUAGGCGACGAGCCCUAGCGGGUCUGAGAGGAUGACGGGUCACCCUGGAACUUGGACACGGUCCAUACUCCUACGUGAGGCAGCAGUGGGGAAUAUUGCACAAUGGGCAAAAGCCUGAUGCAGCAAGCCCGCGUGUGGGAAGAAGGACGUCGGGUUUUAAAGCGCUUUCCGCGAGGAGGCGUUACUCGCAGAAGAAGCACCGGCUAACUCCGUGCCAGCAGCCGCGGUAAUAC
rnacentral:rRNA from 1 species